GGGGAGCCACACAGCCAACAAGGACAGCUGGAUUCAGGAGUAAAGCGAAGCCAUUCCUGAUCUUUCACCAUGACUAGUGGUUCCGGAAUCUUGUUAAUGUUGUCAGGUCUUAUCAGAAAAACGACACAGACGUCUGCAUCAGCCCUCUGCCUGCCAGUGGCUGCCACCACCCCGAAACAUGGGGACAGAAGCAAGUGGCAUCUCUGUCUGUUAUCUUCAGCUAGCACAAGUCGUGACGCAAAAGGCAGCCAUCAACGUGAAUUGCAGCUGCUGCUCCUCUGCGAUCUGCUGCAGCUCGCCAUGGGCCAAGCACUGCUUGGCUGCAGUCACAGCACAUGUGAGAAUGCCAUUAGCAUUGAAUCCUAAUUACCUUACGGGAACUGAAAUAACAUAACUGUACCUUGGCAUCAUCUCCUGAUGUAAGGCAGCAGAUACAGCUAUUGAAAUGUCUGCACACGUUGCAAGCUUCUCUUCCCCCGUCAUCUGCCAGAGCUACAGCUGAGACCACAGGAGAGAAAUGAGUUCAAAGCAAUGCCUCACGUUUGUCUCCUUCUCCUUGUCCAGAAUGAUGACUGCAGCCUUUCAGCCCCUUGAGAUAUCUCAAUAGCCAGUAAACCCUGGCGAAGCAUUAGGACAGGUCCUUACAAUGACACACUUCAUCCUCAGACAGUAAUAGGGCUGACGUUCGCUUAUCUGCCCAGCCAAGACUGUCAGGUGGUGCAAUACAAUCAAGUCAUUUGUUUUUGUUUGAUUACAAAAUGAUUGGAUCCUGAUACAGAUAGGAUAAGAGCUGUAACGGGUCUAAAACCAACCUAUUAAGCAGCCCACAUCUAGCUGUGUUGUGAUGGAAGGCUCCUUGGCAAACCCUGCUUUCCAGCAUUUUGGACCCCCUUCAUUUCGAAGCCAAACCCGUGCCCAGAUGACAACUCCAGAUACUAUUUUUCAAGAUGGUAUAACAUAGAAAAACAGCAGAGAGUAAAGCCAGCCUGAGAACCUUCCUGGGUCAGAGGAGUGUAAGCAUGUAUCGGUGCCCUGCGUGACCAACCUUGGAUGGUGUGCUUGGGAAGGGAGAAGAAUUCCCCUCUUUUAGCUGUGAAGUUUGCAAUAAGGGACAGAGUAGCUGAGGAAGGGAAGAGGUAUAAAAUGGUAGGGAUGGCACUUCUUAUCAAAGCAUGUAAAAUAACUGUUUUCUACCCAA